rnacentral:misc_RNA from 1 species
UCCAACUUAUCAUUGGCAGUUUUUCCAGAGUAGGUAAAUUUUAUUUUACUUCCAACAGGAAAUGAGGGUUGCGCUCGUUAUAGGACUUAACCCAACAUCUCACGACACGAGCUGACGACAGCCAUGCAACACCUGUAUGAUCGUAACUUUAAAGAUCUCUCUAAAAAGAUAAAUCAUAUGUCAAGGGUUGGUAAGGUUUUGCGCGUUGUUUCGAAUUAAACCACAUGCUCCACCGCUUGUGAGGGCCCCCGUCAAUUCCUUUGAGUUUCAACCUUGCGGUCAUACUCCCCAGGCGGAGUGCUUAAUGCGUUAGCUGUAACACUGAACUUAAAAAGUCCAACGUUUAGCACUCAUCGUUUAGAGCAUGGACUAC